GUUGAACGCUGGCGGCAGGCCUAACACAUGCAAGUCGAGCGGAUGAAGGGAGCUUGCUCCUGGAUUCAGCGGCGGACGGGUGAGUAAUGCCUAGGAAUCUGCCUGGUAGUGGGGGAUAACGUCCGGAAACGGGCGCUAAUACCGCCUACGUCCUGAGGGAGAAAGUGGGGGAUCUUCGGACCUCACGCUAUCAUAUGAGCCUAGGUCGGAUUAGCUAGUUGGUGGGGUAAAGGCCUACUAAGGCGACGAUCGGUAACUGGUCUGAGAGGAUGAUCAGUCACACUGGAACUGAGACAGGGUCAAGAGUCCUACGGGAGGCAGCAGUGGGGAAUAUUGGACAAUGGUGGAAAGCAUGAUACAGCCAGGCCGCGUGUGAGAAGAAGGUCUUCGGAUCGUAAAGCACGCUAAGUUGUGAUGAAGGGCAGUAAGUUAAUACCUUGCUGUUGUGACGUUACCAACAGAAUAAGCACCGGCUAACUUCGUG
rnacentral:rRNA from 1 species